ACCGGGCUGAAGACUCUGCUUGACUGGCUGAGAGGAGGUGCAUGGCCGUCGUCAGUUCGUACUGUGAAGCAUCCUGUUAAGUCAGGCAACGAGCGAGACCCACGCCAACAGUUGCCAGCAUGUCCUCCGGGAUGAUGGGGACACUGUUGGGACCGCCUCUGCUAAAGAGGAGGAAGGAAUGGGCAACGGUAGGUCAGCAUGCCCCGAAUUAUCCGGGCUACACGCGGGCUACAAUGGUCAGGACAAUGGGUAUCGACACCGAGAGGUGGAGGCAAUCUCCUAAACCUGUCCUUAGUUCGGAUUGUGGGCUGCAACUCGCCCACAUGAAGCUGGAAUCCGUAGUAAUCGCGUUUCAAAAUAGCGCGGUGAAUAUGUCCCUGCUCCUU
rnacentral:rRNA from 1 species